rnacentral:other from 1 species
GGGUCGCCGUUGGUUUCGGUUCGGUUGUUUGUCAGACCUUAAUGCCACCCCACGGGAGCCCUGCCGCGGUUGAACGAUGGCCAAGCCGUCAAUGAGCGGAAGGCCGGGAUUCGACUCCGGGGCACCCACUUUGAAGCGCGGGGUUCUGGCAUACUCCGGCCGAGACCAACGGCGGCCCG